ensembl:misc_RNA Metazoa_SRP Metazoan signal recognition particle RNA
GCCGGGCACGGUGGUGCAUGCCUGUAAUCCCCGCACUUUGGGAGGCUGAGAUGGGUGGAUCACCUGAGGUCAGGAAUUCAAGACCAGCCUGGCCAACAUGGUGAAACCCCGUCUCUA